AUCUAACUGUGUAUGUAGAUUCUUAAAUUUUGGUCCCGUUUUCAAAUUGGUCUACAUUAAGGUCCAAAGGGUCCAAAAUUAAACUUAGUUUGAUUUUAACAAAAAUUGAAUCCUUGGGGUUCUUUGAUAUGCUGAAUCUAAAAAUGUACUUUGAUUUUUUAUUAUUGGCCCAGUUUUAAAGUUGGUCCAAAUCGGGGUCCAAAAUUAAACUUUGAUUGAUUUCAUCAAAAAUUGAAUAAUUGGGGUUCUUUGAUAUGCCAAAUCUAACUGUGUAUGUAGAGUCUUAAUUUUUGGUCCCGUUUUCAAAAUGGUCUACAUUAAAGUCCAAAGGGUCCAAAAUUAAACUAAGUUUGAUUUUAACAAAAAUUGAAUUCUUGGG
rnacentral:lncRNA from 1 species